CCUUCUUUCAUACUUAUUGGUAUGAUCUUGACGGAGAGAUUCCGCCAAUGCGCAAAGCCUCUCCCCAGCCCCCGAUUAUGUUCUGUCUUUGAGACCGGACGCAUAGACGGCCGCGCUGCCAUUGUCCUGAGGAUGGCGUUUCCCGGGUCCUCCUGUAGAGGGCAGCACAGCCCAAACAUACACACAUGGAACAGGCUUUUCUCGCGGAAGCAUUUUUUUUUUUUUUGCCUCUGUCAUUCUAACAUGGAAAAAGUUUGUUAUGUUUGAAUAUACAGUUUUGCACAUUUUGUGAGUUUAUUUCGUGUAGUAAAUCGUAGUGAUUUUGCAUCUAAACGCAAGUGGAAGCCAGGCCGUUUUUGCCGGUUACAGAGGGCCUGGGGCCUGUUCCAGGAAAAACAGAGCAGAGAGAAGGGGACUGUUACAGCCGGGCAUGAUGGACGACGAUCUAAAACUCAAAGAAACCCAGUGAAAUAACACCGGCUAGAAACAGGGUAUUCAACAGAGAACAACUAAAGGCUAAAAUGAAGAACACAGAUAACAGCAGCUGCUGGCUCAUGCAGACUUGAUCUGCUCCAGCUGCCGUGGACCUGUGCUUUCUAACCCACACACCGUAACUCUCAGCUAGCACAGCUCCAUCUGUCACUGCACUGGUGAGACGGUCAUCUUUUUGGGAACCAUUCUGCUGUUGUCACUGGAGAGAGAGCUUCCCAUACGUCCCGUUUGCUUGGCUUAAACAUGAGGCAAUUGGGUCAUCAUUGGUAUGUGUUUUGUCGCAGUUAAAAUGGGUCACGCCCCCAAAACAGCUGGCAUCGGCAGCCUCUUCAUGGAAUUGAUUAAUAUGGACAAAGAAGACUUUGUUUUAUUCUCUACUGAGCUCAAUGAACUGGGGGCGGGGCCAACUCGCAGUCGACGAAUGGGGCAGAGGCGGGAGGUCCGGAGAGUCGGCAGGGCUCCUCCUAGAACUUACGGCACGUAACAGAACUUGAGUCAUUUUAUGUGAAAACUUUGUCUACUCAAUAACAACCACAGUUCAUUUGAAUAACACUCCAGAACAAUGAGUUCUGAUCCAUUUGCCUUCCACUUGCUGAUCAAGUACAGGAUCAUUUGCGACCUGGAGACUUUUCCAGACACCAUAAGGCACCAAAUCAGGAAAAACACACUUUGCAUGGCAUGCUAGUCUAUCAUGGGGUACACAAUAUGGGUAAUUUAGAGACUAGAUUGCCCAACUGCAGGAGGAAACCAUGAAGCAAGUAAGACAUUCAAAUCUUAAGACACACAAAAGGGUUGGGUUAAGAGGCAAAAAUUCAGACCACUAAACCACUGUGCGACCCAUCUUCCAUAAAUGAUUGAAGAAACUUCAGAAUACAACUCAUUAUUAUGCAUGGGCUAUCUAAAAAUAUGAUUUUUAGGUUUGUAUGCAUUAAAAAAGCCAGGCAAAUUUCUUGAACAUCCCUGGAUAUGCAUGUCUCUCAUGGUUGCUGUGUUUUAUGGAAAGACCACAUCUCAGUGCCUUAGGUACAGUGGCAAGCAUGAAACUGUCCUAAUGUACAACCACUACACAAAUGCUCUUUGAAAAUGACCAAACCAACAGGUAAAAUGAUUUCAAGAUUCAUCAGUCCACUCAAAAAAGGAAAGAAGGUGACAAUCAACUGGCAGUUUGGAUACAGAGGGAUUUCUUAAUAAACAGAACUAAGCAGAAGAGGUGAAACCACAAAAUAACACUGCAAGGGAGCAGGACUAGGAACAGCGCAAAGUAGCAAACACACAGGAACAUAGAUACAAUGACUAACUAGAGGAAAGUGCGGUGCAAGAACUUAAAUGCACACAACAAAUUGAGCUAACAAGAGAGCAGGAGUGAGACAUGACAACCAAUCAACAAGGGCAGAAGGCAACACAGCACAGGUCAAGAAACUGACACUAAUGAACACAGAACUAAGGCACUUACAAGACCUGAAACUGAGGAAACACAAGGAAAUACUACACUGGGAAUAUGAACAGGAAAACAAUGUACAAAAAUCAAACCAAAACAGGACACAAGAAGGGCAAACCUAUAACAGGAAACUCAAAAGGAGUUAUAAAACACUGGGGAACAGAAUUUCCAAUAUAAAGACAGACUCAUUAGCCAGCUUCAAACCCAUGACAAGGGGAAUGCAAUCUUACAGCCACACACUCAACCUACUGAGCCAUGCAGCAAUCUAGGGCACAAAGUAAACACGCAAGGGUUAGACAUGGAGUGUAAAGGCGGGAUGGCCAGCAACACCUGCUGGCCAAAUGGGGUAAAGACAUGAAGGUCUGGGGUGGAUGAGUGCUUACCCUGACAUCCAUUCAUCCAUCUAUCCAUUCCCACCCUGAUUGAUUCUAAGUAGUAAACAGAAACUACAUAGAUAAUUUGUUCAUAAUCAUGUUGAUGCCAUUUUCACUCAUAAACAUUAAGGUCGAUAAUGGUGAUGUCAGAUCCAGAGGGGAAAUAUGUCUUUAACAACUGGAAUAAUGUAAUGUCCUUGCAUUUUCAGAAAUGUCUUUGUCAGAAGGCAAUGAAGACCGACUCACUCUGAAAGACAAGUGAUCAUACAUGCUUUGCUUUCUACCAGUUAUCUGCACUGUAUGCUUUAUGAAUGGUUCCAGUGUACAGCUGAACAUCGUCCCUGGAUUUAGGGCCCACAUUCGGCAUUAGGUUGGAGUCUCUGUCUUUUAUGGAAAUGGUCGGUGGAAACAGAGGUUUUUACAGCAGUGCCAGAUGGCAACCCUAACCAGAGAAGCAGCUUCCAGCCACUGCGUAAUAACUGCUGAUGAAAGAGUUACCAUUAUUUUGUGGUGCUGUCACAGCAGACGAUGACUCCUCUCUCUGAACAUUAUAUCACCACUGCCAUCAUCAUCAUGAGAGAAGGAAGGAUGUUUUUAAAGGAACAUUAAUCGGAUUUUCCAUCCUGCUUCGUGGGAACACACUGUCCGAUGCUUUAUUGUUCUGGAGAUGUUUAUUAUAGCUCUGGAGGUUUGGAAUGAGUUGUAUAAUACAUCUUUCCCCAAAACCAAGAAGAAGAUCACAGCUAUGGAUCUCACCAGGAUGCUAUUGAGGAAUCUGCAACCUGAUUAAUCAAGUUGAAUAAUUGGGAUGUGGUCCACUGAGCUCUGGGCC